CUCUUCAGGUGCUCAAGUCCAGGGGCUCUCCUGUUCUUUUUGGUACUGACUUCCGCGUGACAAUUCAAUCAGUCUUUCGUCCCAGGCCCAUUGCUGCUCCUCGAGCUGGGUCUCCCUGCACCUCGCGUUUAGGCACCCUUUGUAGCUGCCGAACCUGCCUUCUUUCGGUGGGAGUUCAUUCUCCAACACCCAGGGGCCGCACCGCAGCCCUUGCUCACACCAAGUCUUGGUUCCUGUCUGCCUUCCAAGAAUGGGCUUUCGGCUCCUAACUUUCCGCAUUUUUCAGGAUCCAGAUUACAAACCAUUUUAAGAAGGACAAGUGGAAGGGGGUGGCAGGUGCAGGCACCACAUCUGGCCAGGAAGGUGCAAGAAGAAUCCCCUGAGACAGGCCAAGGAGAUGAAUGAGGAAGAUGAGGCUAUCAAGCAGAAACAAAAGAGGAGCACACGAACUUGAGGAGGUAGAAGUGAAGGCUACGCAGAAGGACCCCUGGAAUUAAGAAAUCUGGCAAAAAGAAAGCUGUUCCUGUACCUGAGAUGAUGGUGACUGAAUGGUGACAAUUCCUUCUUGAACAUCGGAAUUCCCUGCCAAAAUAUUUUUGCCACCUAUACCUACAAAGAACCAUUGUCUUGGAAUCUGUUGUAAAUUUAAGAAUAAACUUUCAUUUAAAAUAAAUAAAAACAACCACAUCUUUUUGAAAA